ACGCUUGAAGUCAGUCACGUCUGCCAGGACUCAGCCUUGCUUCUGCUCGGUGUACUUUCUGGUUUGAUGGGCCAACAUCAAUUUUGACCGUUGGAGAAAGGCUUUGGGAAUGUGGCACCUUAGGGUGUGUUAUAGCCCAUUGUUGUAUACAACGGCUGGGAUUGAGGACUGCAGCACGCCUUCAUGGCCGGGGUUCGCCCACGUACGUGCUUAGGAUGUUGGCAUAAUGGCUUUAAGCGACCCGUCUUGAAACACGGACCAAGGAGUC
rnacentral:rRNA from 1 species